AGACACAGUCACAUUCUCUAAUCAACUACUCCCCAAAUACUUCAAACAUUCAAAUAUAUCCAGUUUUGUUCGACAAUUGAAUAUGUAUGGAUUCAAAAAAGUGCUGACUCUAGAACAGAGUCAAAUCCAUACAAAUUCAAUGCAGUUUUGCCAUCCAGCAUUCAAUUGGAAUCGAGACGGGGACUUGAUUCAUAUAAAAAGAAAGAUUGGAGGAACCAGUUCUCUCAGAACUUCUUUCGGCUUGGAGGAAAUACAGUCAGAUUCGGAGAUGAAUUCGAUUAUAAGUGAUAUGGGGUCUCUCCGUAUUCGGGCUGACAAUUUGGAGUGUGUGGUUGAGGAACUUAAAUAGUAUUGACAGUAAUAAGCCUUAGUGAUAACGCCUGUCUUAACGACGAGCUGAAUGAACUGAGGACAAAUUACACAAACCAACAACAAAUAAUAAACAAAUUAAUAAGUGUUAUUGUCACGUUUUUUGGGAAUAUUGACCCCAAGUUGCUAAGAACUGAUCCUCGAGUGAUGCCUCAGUUGCUUGAGUGGCUUCCUCAAGUCAGCAAUCCUCAGUCUCCAGUCCAAGUGUCAGGCACAGGGGGGACCACCCCUUCAUACGACCUCUCUCGUAUAUACAACAAGACAUCCCCCAUUCUCUCAACA